rnacentral:rRNA from 1 species
AACGCGAAGAACCUUACCUGGGCUCGAAGCGCAGUGGACUGGGGUAGAGAUAUCAGUUCCCUUGUGGUCUGUGUGCAGGUGGUGCAUGGCUGUCGUCAGCUCGUGUCGUGAGAUGUUGGGUUAAGUCCCGCAACGAGCGCAACCCUUGUCUCAUGUUGCCAGCGGGUAAUGCCGGGGACUCGUGAGAGACUGCCGGGGUCAACUCGGAGGAAGGUGGGGAUGACGUCAAGUCAUCAUGCCCCUUAUGUCCAGGGCUUCACACAUGCUACAAUGGCCGGUACAAAGGGCUGCGAUGCCGUGAGGUUAAGCGAAUCCUUUAAAGCCGGUCUCAGUUCGGAUCGGGGUCUGCAACUCGACCCCGUGAAGUCGGAGUCGCUAGUAAUCGCAGAUCAGCAACGCUGCGGUGAAUACGUUCCCGGGCCUUGUACACACCGGUACUA